CCCAAGGCUCUUUUAAGAGCCACCCACUUUUUCCUUUCAAAAGAG
rfam:Pterocles gutturalis contig76263, whole genome shotgun sequence.